rnacentral:lncRNA from 1 species
GUGCUUAACCGGAGGAGGAGGGGACUUGUAUACGUAAUGUUUCUUUGGUGGUGGUGGGGAAUGGUAAACUGGAGGGGGAGAGUAGUGCUUCACCGGUGGUGGUGGAGAUUUGUACACGUAGUGUUUCUUUGGUGGGGGUGGGGAAUGGUAAACCGGAGGAGGAGAGUAGUGCUUAACUGGAGGAGGAGGAGAUUUGUACACGUAGUGUUUCUUUGGUGGUGGUGGGGAAUGGUAAACCGGAGGAGGAGAGUAGUGCUUAACCGGAGGAGGAGGAGAUUUGUACACGUAGUGUUUCUUUGGGGGUGGUGGGGAAUGGUAAACCGGAGGAGGUGAGUAGUGCUUCACCGGUGGUGGUGGAGAUUUGUAGACGUAAUGCUUUUUAGGUGGGGGUGGGGAAUGGUAAACCGGAGGGGGAGAGUAGUGCUUAACCGGAGGAGGAGGAGACUUGUAAACGUAAUGUUUUUUUGGUGGUGGUGGUGAGUGGUAAACCGGAGGGGGAGAGUAGUGCUUAACCGGAGGAGGAGGAGACUUGUAUACGUAAUGUUUCUUUGGUGGUGGUGGUGAGUGGUAAACCGGUGGGGGAGAGUAGUGCUUGACUGGAGGAGGGGGAGAUUUGUACACGUAGUGCUUCUUGGGUGGUGGUGGAGAGUGGUAAACCGGAGGAGGAGAGUAGUGCUUAACCGGAGGAGGGGGAGAUUUGUAAACGUAGUGCUUCUUUGGUGGUGGUGGGGAGUGAUAAACCGGUGGGGGAGAGUAGUGCUUGACCGGAGGAGGAGGAGAUUUGUACACGUAGUGUUUCUUUGGUGGGGGUGGGGAAUGGUAAACCGGAGGAGGUGAGUAGUGCUUAACCGGUGGAGGUGGAGAUUUGUAUUCGUAGUGCUUCUUAGGUGGUGGUGGGGAGUGGUAUACCGGUGGAGGAGAGUAGUGUUUAACCGGAGGAGUGUAAUGUUUAACCGGUGGUGGAGGAGAAGAAUAGAAAUAGUUAGCGGUUGAUUGAGAUACAAAGGUGAGAGAGAUUGUUAAGACAAGCAAAGUUGCCACUAAAGAGGCCAUUGGAGACCCCAUUGGUUGUUUUGUUUUUGGUUUGUGAUUUAGUGCCUUCCCUUCACACCCUUUAAAUAGCUUUUUCAGUUUCACUAUUUUCACACUCGUUGUAAAAUGGUAACUUACGUCAUGUAAAAAGUACAUGCAAUUAUGUACACCAAACAUAUAUAAAUAUUAGUAUAUAGAAAGAAGUGAUGUUUGUUGGUCUCUCCGACUCUCAUUAUUAAACUUUUUUCUUCAGCCAUCGAUGAUUGACAUGUUCUCCAUGUUCGAACAACGUAUCGAAUCUCGUGAUUUUUCAAAAUAUAACGUUAGAUCUAACGUAUGUUUUCUAAAUCUCGCGAUUUUUGUUAUGUCCCUUUUGAUAAUACUCACUUUUUUUUGUGUGUGAAAAUUCACUUUAGAACAAUAAUACAAUGUCCCAAAAGCUAAGAAAGUAGUAAUUGUAAUUGUAGAACGUUGUAAGAGAAAAUAUGUUGAUGGCCUCUUGAGUUUUUCUUUUUCCGGUAAAGAAGAUAUAUAUGGCCUCUAAGUUAAAAGGGGAAACAUGAGAAAAUCAUUUCUGACUACGUUAAAUGUAAAACAUGACUCUAAACACACAAGAUUAAUACUUUACUUUUUCUUUCAAAUUUAGAAAUAACAAAACCAUAUCAGAAAUUAUGUACACAGCCGUAUAUAGGUUUGUGGUUAUAGAUUAGAUGUUUGUCGAUAUUUGAUCCAUUAAUAUGUGUAAGUCGAACUAUAACCAGCGAAUGUAAUGUCAUAACAUGGUCCAAAUUAUUAAUUUGGAAUUUAUUUAUCUUAUAUUUUACUUAACAAAGUUACUAAAUUUUAGUCCGCUUUUAUCUUUCUAUUUUUGGUUACAUGCAUCUUUUCAUUUUGUGUUAAAGUACAUACAUCCUUUUUUCUCCGAUGAUACUUUCUUCUUGGCUCCUUAUACAAGUCCUUAUGAAUAAUGGGAAACGAAUAACAUUGCCUUUGACACUUUUAGAAAAAGCAUUUGCAAUAUUCAUUUUGAGAACCAAAUAAAAGUUAUGUUCAAAUUCUUUCUUUCUUUCUUUUUUCCAGUUUUGUAAUCUUAAGUUUGAGCAUGAUCUGCCUAAUGCAUAAGUGAUUCUCGGCAAUGUAAUGGACCAACCACAGAUAUUUUCAUAGAUAGAGAUGUGAAUAUAUAUAGAUCAAUAAUCAGAAACAGCUAAAUAUAGCUAAACAACUUAUUUUCGAUAUCUCACCUACUUCCUACGUACUGGUCAAAGAUGCUUACCACAUCCAUUCUUUUACUCGUUCAUUACAAAUGUAAUCAAAUCCAAUAUUCAUUACAGAACUUAUCAAUUCAAUGUAAAAUAUUCAUCUUUAAUCUAAAUGCUCUAUCCCAACAUUAUUGCAGUUAAUGCAUAUUAGAUACAGCAAAUUUAUUAUCGAGCAUAAAACUCUAUAAUAUAGUUUUGAGUUAUUACCUAGAAGAUUCAGUUCCGGAUAAUAUUGUUUUUCAUCUAGUGAACCUAGAUCGACUAAUAAUAAACCUAUAUAAACCCCAAUUAAGUAACAUGUUCAUCGAAACUUUGCAUUUACUUCAUUUUUUUUAUAGUCGAUUAUAUUUUUCUUCUUCAACAAAAGACACUUAUAUAUGUAAUUUUUAAUUUUCUAGUCAAUACAUUUUCUCCAAAUAAAAUAGGGUUUUGUUUACGGAGAAUACUUUUUAAAAAAGAAAGAGUAUAUGAACGCGUUGACUUACGGCGGCCGAGUUAGAAGUGGAAGGAACAAAAGAGAGAAGGUGGUCCGUCAUACAUCCGAAUACCGCUCCUAAAGGUGACACUGCCAACGUGACAGUGAUUGUUCGAUCUUCGAUUUGGUGUUUUGCCUCACAUUUUCUUUGUUUAACCUUAGAACACGUUUCUUGUCCUCUCUAUUAUUCUUUUUUAAUUACAUACGCUGUCAAUUAUCAAGAGAUAAGAAAACGUUAAUAUGAUUUAACUAAUUAACAAGGUAGAUGAAUUAUCACGACCGGACUUUUCUGACUGAAUAUAAGGAUGAUAAAUGUUCAUUAUUUGUUUUUUGUUUUCUUUUUCGGUGCACUGGAUUCUUCAUUUCAAUUAUAGACUAUUGUACAUCUUCAUCUUCUAUCAAAAUAAACAAAUAAAUCAAUAAAAGAAGCUUGGUCAAGAGUCAAGAUAGAUUUUCGAUAAUUGAAUUUUAUUCAUUUUCAUCGAACUGGAUAAGUAACCAGCUGGAUUAAGACUUAGACAAAUUAACAACUUCGCAUAAUUUUUUAACACAUUCUUGAAAGCUGACUUUGUUGGUGAGACGUCAACAAAUUGCAAGAAUAAUCACCGUCAUACCGAUUUGGUCAUUUGUAAUAAAGUAACACGACAAUAGUUACCUUUGAUGAUAAUAAUUACAGAAUUAUAGAUAUUUAGAUUCCUUUAGUAAAAUAUAGCUCAUAUCUGAUCCACUUCGAAAGAUGAUAGCCUUAAAGUAAAUAUUGGUAUACAUUUGAGUUUGACUAGAUAACAAUUCCAUAAGACCAAUAAAGAUUUUACGAUAUUGAAUAGAUUUUUAUGCGCUUAUUAUUUUAAAUAUAUUAGAAAUAUACAUAAUUGGUGUUUGCUUUCAUUUAGAAUGUUAAAUUACAUGCAUGGUUUUAACUUUUAUCUUCACGAAUAUACGGAUUAAUUACGGUAUAGAUUAGAACCUCGUGAUAAUCAAAAAGGAAAAAUAUAUAGAGGGGGUAUUAUUUGACCACUCUUUGACGUGUUAGAUACUUUCUAAGAAUAUAUUUUUAAAAAAAUUAUUUUUCUUAGAUCUAUCGUUAUAUAUUAAUCUCAUAGUAACAAUUCUUCUGCUAUAUGAUUUUUCAAACAGAAAAAAAAUAUGUCUAAAAAAAGUUAUCCUUUGUAGUUUGAAUACUAGCAUUUCUUAAACACAAAUUAACUUUUCGAGCAGAAUUCCAAAUAGAACGUUAGUCAAAUUCUAAACUAGUUUUCGAGAUCUACAAAACUUUCAUCUUUUUUGUGUGGUCAAUGAUUUUUUACAUAGAAUGAUAAAAAAGAGUAUAUGAAUUCAUGAAAUGAUCAUCACUAACUUACCAUACCUUUGUUUUUUUUGAUAAAUUGAUAUAUUCAGUCUAAUAGACUCGAUUGACGACAAAAGAAAGACUUGUAUAUAAUAAAUAUGCGAUAUUAGAUUGUAACUGCAUGAUAGAUCAAUGAGUCAUAAGCAACAUGGCCUCCUUGUUCGAUACAUUUUUCUAAACAUAUUCGAUCCCUAAGCUACUAGCUACGUGUAAUUUUGCUAUAUAAAAAUAUUCAGCAUAAAAUUAAAAAAAUAGCUCAUCACUUCAGAUGAUAUGAAAAAGAAAGACUACACGUCGAUAAUCAAUCUAGACAAUAAUAAAGAUAUUUGUGACUAUUUCCUGGAAACACGUACAUAAACGUUAUUUGUCGUAAGAUACAGUUUUGUCGGGUCGCCGAAUGUGUCCCAAUAUGCAGUCUAUAAUCAAUAUGUGUCUAUUACAGACGAUUAGUUCGACUGUAAUUUCAUAUGGAUUUACAACUUUUUUUAAGAAUAUGAUUGGUAGCGGAAAAAAAUAUAUAUGAUUGGUAAAAAAAUAAAGUUUAUAAAAUUUUAAUUAACAGAAUUCCAAUAUAUAUUGAAGUGUUAAGAUUUUUGCUAAAUAAAUAAUUAGCAUCUAUACUAAUAAGAUAAGAAGAAUAAUAAUGAGGUUUAUAUAUUUACUUUUUAGGAAUUUUGAAAAUUUUCAAUAAUUUAUCUUAAAACUUUGUAGAUGGAGUUUGAGUUAUAUACUGUAUAUUUGAAUUACUGGGAGUCUGGGACAGAGCUACAGAAUUAUAAUAUAUAUUUUGCUUUAACAGAAAUUUUUGAAAUUACGGACCUAUCAUAUGUUACCAAUAAUCGUUAGAUUCGAACUUCCAUGUGGGAAUUAAAUUGAGACUACCAAACUUGUUUGAACAAAAAGAUUUCUUUUAAGAACUAAUCUAGAAUCCUAGAUUUUAAAUUAGCCUUUUGUGGACGUUUUCGCUAUAAAAAAUAAUAUGAUCAAAAUAAUUCGCAACUAAAAAUAAUUCACGACUUAUAAGAAGAAUCCCAUUCAAAAACACUAAUCAUCUCCUAAUUUUAAUUUGUUGAACUCUUUUAUUCUUUUUACAACAAAAACAUAAGAAGGAAAUCUACUGCUAAAAGCCUAAAACCAAAAAAAAAAAAAAAUAAAGAAAAAAGAAAAACAGAAAAACACUCCCUCUAUAACCAAUAUUGUACGACUUAAUUUUUUCACAAUUUCUUAAAUUCAUUAUACCGACAAACUAUCUCACGGUAAUAUCUGGAUUAUUAUUUUGUCCGUCUUUAUGGAAAGCGUUAGGAGAAGUUUGUUGAUUUUAUUCUUCAACAAAAAAAAACGUUUGUUGAUUUUAUAGUUGAUUUAUGGGACCAGCAGGCGGCUUGGCUGAUAUAUACGUCUUCGUUUUCUUUUUUUCUAGUUAGAUUUUAUGUGAUGUGAAAUUUUUUAAUUUGAAAAGAUAUAAAUAUUUUGACAUCAACAUACAAAAUGAUUAUUAUUUUAUAACAUAAUUAGCUCUUUUCUCUUAUUCCAUGGAGGAUUUAGUGACAUAUGUACACUUGGAAAAGUCACUGGUUAAUACUGUAGUAAUUUAGUAAGAAUUCUAUAAGAAGUAGAAAAUAUCUUCGAAAUAUUCUGCCGACAUAUCCUUAAAUUUAAGUUUUCACUACUUCUCCUAUUACGAUAAAAACUUAUAUAUAUAGACGUACGUUCAAAUAUCUCCCAUGUGAAAUUUCAAGUGUGUUUUUAUCCCAAAAAAAAUCAUGUGUACAAGAUAAAAAUACUAUGUAUAUUCAUCCGUACAAAAAUAACUUGUUAUUAUAAUUAUGUUAAUUUGUUUACAUUAUUUAUUUACUCUAUAUAUUUCCAAAAAAAAAAUGUUGAAAUUCAAACGCCACUAUUUUAGAAAUGAUUAAUAAGAAUUAUCCGAAAACAGAUUUAUUAUGAAAAUGGAAAAGAGGUAGAAAUUAAUUUUGAUCACGAUAAAGAUAUUCAUGAAAACCUAGUCAAUGAGAAAUUUAAUAUACUAACAUCCUUUAUAUACUAAUAAAGUAAUAAGUAAUAAUACUCAUCGAUCCGAACUACUGUACUUGUAAAACAAGUCCAACAAAAAAACAAGUAAUUCAGGUCAUCAAAUCUAACAAACUUCCCAUAACCGGACUAAACCAACAUUCUAUAGGCUCCCUUGAUUCAAGACACGUCUGUUUCCACUAAACCCUCACAUACGAGAAAUCUUACAUCAACAAACAUACUUGAUACUUCCCCAGCUAGCUCCAAAACCCACGGCGGCACGUCGGCACCAAGGUCCAUCGUCUACUUUUCUUGCAAUAAUUCACAGUAGGAGCUAAAGAAAUGUCACUGUGUCCACGAUUAUCACCAUUUGACCACAAAUUUUGUUCGCUAUUCAUAUGUUUCAAUAAAAUAAAAAUAUUACUAGUAGAUACUAAAGAAAGAGACAACGAAGUAUAACAAAUAUUUACUUUUUAUAAUUUCAGCUAGAUUUGUCUUUUGCUAGUAAAGAAGUCAGGUCCGAUACAGUGUGAAUGAACUGCAUGUGACCUGUGGGCGUCAGAAAAUGCUGGGGUAAAAACAUCAUUUCGUCAAUCGUCGUAGCAGAAAAUAUCUAUAACAGUGGUAUAAUAGCUACUUAUACGUAUUUGAUCAAAAAAAAAAAGACUACUAAUACGUAUGACCACUCCUAUUAUUAAAUCUAUUAAAUACUACUAUACGUAUUUCAUAACUGCUUGUUCUUCGUAAAUGACCACUCUCCUUUAAUUAUUUAUCAUAGUGCUAUAACAAAUUAAUUCAUAGUAUGUAACGGUGAAUUGAUAAACCAGCUACUACGAAUUAAUUUAGAAAAUAUGAAAUUUCACAAUAUGACAAAUGUAGAUGUCAUUGUUUCCAGGAGAGUUCUAAAAUACAAGAGUGUCCAAACAAACACAGUGAAGAAAGUAGUUAAGAGGAUAUUUUCCAGUGUAAGAUCUCUUGGAAUCACGCUAAUCUGUGAUUGAUUUUAUAUCUACAAUCGUACUUAAAAAAAUAUAGUGUUUUUUUUUAAUUAGGUGUAAUGUAGAACAGAGACUUUCAGAUCCACUUGAAUCAAUAUUGUAUAAAAUGUACUAAUCUAAUUGUUGUUUAACAACUUGUCUCUAUUUCCUCAAUCAUGAUUCAUAACCCGAUCGGUCUCCUAAACAUUAGUCUUGUUUGAGCCAAGAAUAUCUUCAAAAUAAUGCUGUAUUUAAAUAAGUCAUUAAAUUAUUAUCAUUGUAAGGAAUCAAUUAUUUAAAGCCACCUCUCAAUUAUUUAACAUAGUAGUAAAUUAAUUAUUUAAAGCCACCUCUCAAUUGAUUAACACUAUUUUAGUUUCCAAACCAGUGGCUAAAAAGCAAUACCUUGUUGGGGCAAAAUGUAUUUAACUAUUCAUUUCAUUUUAUUUCAAUUUUUUGCAGUAUAUAUAUGUAAUAUGUGUGUAUACGAGUCUGAUCGAGUACGUCAGCGAUUCAUGAAUACCAUUUAAUUGACAUAGGACAAAAGGUUACUUCUGAUUCACCAUUUACUAUUCUCAUCAUUCUCUUCUUUUUUGGGUUCAAAUUCUCAUCAUCGUCUAUUCCUCUUCAUCAUAACUCUCUCUUGAAUGUUAUUUCCAUCUGUAUAAAUACAAACUUACAUGAAUUAGUAACGUAUUAUUGUUUUCUAUAGCUAUUCUAGAUAGGGGACGUAAAGAGAAAAAAAGAUAGGGGACGUACUUUUUGUUGACGUUAUAGAGGACGUACUUUUUUUUACCCUGUUGUUUUUGUUUUGUUUUGUUAAAGGCUUCACGGCUUUACCCAAUUUCAAUAAUUCACAAAGACAUGUGCAAUAUGAUCAGUUUAUUACAAAAUUACAUCUUGUCUCAAAAGUCGCAAUCUACUGCUUCGUAAAAGAUGGAUAAAACAAAAGAGGAAAAGAUUGAUUUGUACAUUGCCUACUAACUUAUUUAACGUGGCCAGAAGCAUGAAGUUUCUUGAAUUAUGCAUGCACAUAAAAGCCAAAACAAAAACAAAAAAAUCUAAAGUCGGACGCGAAAAAAAGCAUCUGCUCUCUUUGGAUAUCGAAUAUACUCACCUCUCUUCAUCGCCGAUCCCAUCAGUGUUGACAUGUUUGGUCAACCAAAUAAAUUUGUAGUGUCACUGAUUUCUUAUCUUUUUGUAAAUUUUCUACAUUGAUUUGCUUUUUGAUAUAAAGUUCUAACUUUUUUAAAAGUAUCAUAUUACGAGGAAGCUAAAGCAACUACAAGCUCUAGAAGAUUGUAACUUUUCUUUGAAAGUAAAAGCACUCAUGGUUUUUAAUUGCUAACAAUAUACACUUACGAUAGGCAAAUCCUCACACUAGGGAUUAUAUGAGCCACUGUUUUGGAUUCUGUCCCAAAAAUAUAAAUGAACAAAUACAACUACGUACUGAUCCCUGAGUACACUAUUGAAGUCCCAUUUCCGUAUAAUUCCCACAUAGAAAAUAAAAGAUUGUGACAAAAAUUUCUGUCUUUGAUAGAUAACAGUAAUAAGAUGAUGCACUAAAUCUAUCCACGAGAUGGAAAGAAAAAUUAAGUGAAAGAGAAAGACUUUAGGUUCGAAUCACUUCAUCUCCGUGGUGUCUCUCCAUACAUCUCUGUUUCUUUGAGUGAAACUACUCCUAAGGAUUUGAGCAUAUGAUCAAGUGUAUUUGGGUUCAUGUAGAAUCUAGUUGCAGGAGGGAACAUGGAAGCACGAAACAAUAAGUCACCAUUUGGUCGAUGGGCCUCAAAUGUCACCUACUGAUCACCUUCUUCCUCCACGCUGUCCUGGUCUUGGACCUGGGUUUCUGAAAAAUUGGAGCCGCAAAAUCUUGGAAUCGGGUUCGUCUUCAUCCAUUCGAUAGUCUGUCAAAUAUAAAGUUGUAUCAGUUAAACCAGCGGACGAGUGUUGGCUUGCAUCGGACAAAAUCAAACUUUGAUACAGUAUAUGUUCUAGCAUAGUGUUUAUAACUGAAAUGAAGAUAGUAAUAUCAAGAAACCAAUGCAAAACAAACUCAAUAUGUGUUGGAACAAAUAUUAGCAAUCCCCAAAGUAGAGAGAAUCUCGGUUACCUUGCAAAGCGCUCAGAGCAGUUGCUGCACAGGCAGAGUUUUCAAAAUCAACAAAACACAGAACAGUAGGAUCUCCACUCCUCUGCAUAAAACCCCUUAGAAAGUCAAUAUUAAUGAAAUUAUGGGACUGAGUGUUUUCAUUUUCAACAAUUCUUCAAAUUGGAACCAGUGAAUCUUACGUGUUUUGAAUCUUGGGUCACAAGUCUUACUUCUCUAUAUCCCACAAAAGGCCGAAAUAUAUCUAGACUUCAGUUAAGGACAAUGAAUAGCUCAAACAUUCUUAAGUGAGGAAAUUAAUAAUUGUAAUGAGUCAUUAGGUAGGAUACGGGAUACUUCCCUUCUUGAGCAAUUAGAAGGAAGUCCUUCAACAUACAGAGUGUUGGAUACAUCUGGAGGUAGAGGAUGUGGUUCCCGGCCUGGCCUACCAACUGAAUCCAGCUGACCAAAACCCAUAUCCCGACCAUUUGGCCUGAAAUCUGAAGGCAAACUCCCACCACACCCAGCCAUGAGCUCACCCAUGGACGGACCAGGCAUCAUGUUGGAACCUCCUUGUCGUACCAUGCCAACACCAUUAAAUGGACCAGCUUCUUCAGAUGGCACAAAAAACGUUUGCUACAAAACAGGGAAAAGGUUUCAGUACACUGAAGAAAGAAGAGAAAAAAAACGAAGAAGAGACCACGUGAAUAAGGAUUAUACCAUACUCUGCAGGUAGCGGUCAUAAGCUGAUCCAAUACUUCUAGUAUCCUUUACUGAAUGGGGGAUACCUCGAUCCUCAUCCUGUGAUAAAUAACUGUGCAUAUCACCUGAAGGAAUCAAAUAUGGUGUACCUUCUACAAAGAGAAAAAUAAGACAAUUCAAAAUCACACAUUGAUAGGUAUGGCAAUAUAUAAACCAGUGGACCUCAUGACACACGAAAAAGAAGUACACAAGAUACAUAAUCUGCAACUAUAAAUCAGUGAUAAUCUGUUCCAGCAUUGAUGGUCAAACACUCAAACCUCUUUAACGUAGCAUCAUAUUUAGUAAGAGACGAAAUGAAGGAGGGACAAAUAAGACAAUUCAAACUCACACACACAACUUUAGAUUCAUGUGAUGAGCACAUAGCAGUUAAGGAGGGACAAGAUUCAUUGAACAUAAACUUUAAAGUAUAUGUGGGAAGCCCACCAAACAAGAAUACACAUAUCAUCAAAUUGCCAAAUUGAUGUAAACAAAUGACGCAAUCAUCACGAAAUGCAUAAGUAGAAACCCUCUAACUGCAUCGGAGUGUCUCCAAAAAAAUGAUGAAAAAACGUAAAACAUAUCCUCUCUUUUUUCCUAACACUCGUAAAUUGGUUCACCUAGAUAUAAUAACUGAAUCAAGAAUCAAAGAAAUUGUUGAAAAGGUCCAUAGAAGAAGGAGACUGAAUCUUCGAUGGACUACUCUGAAGGAUAGAGUUAAAGUCAUUAAAGAACGACGAAAAACCUUGUGGAUCGGUUGGUCCAAUAGUGGAAAAGAAGUCCGGUGAUACCGACGGCAGAGAAUAAGGUCCCGGCGAUAAAAUCCCAGCAUGGUGAAAACUUGGCCGCUCGAACCCUCGAUUUUGAUGUGGUUGUUCUUGAUGAUGAUGAUGAUAAUAUUGAUCCAUAGUCCCUUCGCCUCCAACAAAUGUCCCUAGUUCGUUUGAGAUAUUAGCCUUCUCUGUAACAGCAAACCGAGCCGCCGGAGAUAUCAACCCAUGAGAUGUAUCAACCAUUGUUGACGUGUCUUUUGGUUCCGACGUGGAUGAAGAGGAGGAGGAUGAUGUUGUGGAGGUAGAGGUUUGACCUGUGAGACGUUGGACCAAUGUCAUGAAGUUAUUAGGGUGUGUAUGGAUAAUUCUGGGAGUUACUGUGUAUAUGUUCACGGGACCAGGUGGGGGCCGAGAUUGCGACGGUUCUUGCUGAUGGGUUUGUGGUGGUUGUGGUUGCGGGUGUGGCGGCGCUAGUGGUGGCUUCUUGAUAAUCUUGUGCGAAUCUCCACGGACUUUCAGUGGUGUUGGUUUCGGACCCAUGUUUCCUCUUGAUCUUGGCGAUCUAUUAUCCAUAGAAUCCACUUUAUGAGAUGAAUAGUAUAUGUAUAUGUGUAUGUGUGAUGAUGAAUUUAGUGAAGAACAAUGAUUAUGUGAUGAUUAGGGGAAGUACUUGUAUAUAUAUAAUUAGAGAAAAAUAAGACAAUUCAAACUCACACAUCGAUAGGUACGGCAAUAUAUAAACCUGUGGACCUCAUGACACACAAAAAAGAAGUACACAAGAUACAUAAUCUGCAACUACAAAGCAUAGAUAAUCUGUUCCAGCAAUGAUGGUCAAACACUCAAAACCUCUUUAACAUAGCAUCAUAUUUAGAAAGAGACGAAAUGAAGGUUUAUUUUCUCAUUAACUUAGAAUAUGAAUGUACAUGUACAUGUUCAUAUACAAGAUAGAAUGUAAAAAACUACCCUACACAAGUAACAAGCUCUCUAUACUACUCUAAUACAUCAAUGUGGUGGGAUACAUACACUUAUCUUUACAGAACCGUUCAACCGCAAACAUAAUUUGAACAAAGUGGAUCAAGACUCCUAUAAACAAUAGUACAGAGCAAUUUUCAAGACAUACAUAUAUACUAAAAGAAGUUCUGAAUAAGAGCCAUACAAAAUGAAACCUAAGAAGAGAAUCAUAUGUUAAUGGUAGCUCCCAUAUAGCUCAUCUUUUUAAGUAAAAUAAGAAAAGGUUUUGUUUUCAUGGCAAAGAGGCAAAAUUUAGACCUAUAACAGAUGAAAAAUCUGUUCAUUAUUCUAUAUAACUAUCAUCACAACAAUGCCCACUAACAUAAGAGCUACAUUGAGAGUUGAUUCCAAGUGUAAAGACAGCUCCUUUCAGGUCUAAUAAUGAAAAUUACACACAGAGCGGAAAAAAAGAAGAAACUUUUAGCUUACGGAAGUCGGAACGGGGACGUUUGGGAGGAAGAACGUGAGGGUUCGACGAAAUUGGAAGCUGAUACUGUCUCUGCUGGUUCCAGUACUCAUCCGCCAUUGACGGCGACGGAAACAACAAAUCGAGAGAUCACAAUUCGAAAAUUAGUAAAUAAAAAUUCCUAAUUUACAGAAUAAGGCAUUCGAUUGCAGUUCUACUUGGUCCCAAUCGAACAAAAAAAUUCUACCCAGCAACUUGCUCGUUCCUCUGUUCAGAUCAAAAUUCUAAUUCGCUCAAUUUCAAUUUCAUCGAGUUUUCUGACUCAUUCUCUUUCGACAACGGAAGUGAAUGAUCCGAAUCUGAGUGACCCGACCCGUUUUGUUUAUAAACCCGGUAUUUCUUCUGGCGCCAAUUUAACAAGUAACGACUAAGUGAGGCCAUGAAUUUUGUCUGGACUAAUAUUUAUGUAAACUCAGUAAAAAUUUGGUAGAAAAUAAGUUUAACUUAAAAACUGGCAGAAAAUGAGUUUAACUUACAAAAAAAAAAGACUUUUUAAGUUUAACUAUUUAAGAUAACUCAUUUUCAACAAAUUUGUAGUGAGUUUACAUAAAUAUUUGUUGUAAGUAAAAAUUUAAGAAAAUUUACAUACAUGUCACCUACUAGUAUGUACAUAGCUUGGGGUUGGAAAGAUAUCAUUCCCCAAUUGCCUGCUCUCAUUCAUGCUUUUCAAACAUCGGAGAUGAACACUCCCAAAAUGAGAAGGUUGUGCAAAUUUACAGCACUACCAGAAGUAAGUCUUAAAAUCGUUUUUAUGUUGUUUAUUGUAUCUUUUAUCCAACACUUAUAGACUCUAACACACAUUGUAUUAUAUAGGCAAUGAAUAACAUAGGCGACAGAUCAGAUGUUUACAGUUUCAGAAUUUUUCUUGGUACUAUAAUAACGGUUAAGGUUUCAUAUGAGACUUUGGAUAGAUUAACGGCUAGACACACAAGCCUUAGGUGUUAUCGGGGUAAGACUUUUCUCCAUCCUUAAAAUAACUCUGACUGUGACAUAAUUGACUAAAUUGUGGUCAUGUGUUCAUUAGGGACAAAGGCCUGAACUUCCAAGCGAGACGAAUCCAAGACUGAAGAAAUUAAUCGAUGAAAUGCUUGGAUGGAGAUGCUAUGUAUAGGCCUCACAUCUAAGAUGUAAGACGUGUUUUGGAGUCGCUUGUCUCAGAAUUAAAUACGCCUACUACACCAACAACAACGCCUCUCCUGGUCACUCCUUCAACAUCAAACUCAACAUCGACACUGGUGUUAAGGGAUCAAUUUGAGGCAUUAUCAGGUGAUCUUGAUUCUUGAGUAAAAACCAGGAAAUAAUUUCACAAAAAGAAAAACAUUAUCCCAAACUUUGAUUUUUUCUAUGCUCACGUAGCUAAGAACGUGUUGAUAUCUCUGUUCUGGCACAUAUACAGUUUUAGUGCCCAAACUUUUUUGUUCUUUACUUCUUUUUCUUCCUGAUCAAUUGUGAACUUUGAGAUUCAGUUGUAUAUUCUAGAAAGUAAAAGGACCAUAUUCUCUUGAUCGUUAACUUUUGGAUUAGAAAACGUCAAUAUAUUAAAAUACAUCAAUAUCUAUUUUGAUAAAUUAUUUAAGAAUAUAACAGUAUAACCAAAAAUCAACGAUUAAUUUGAUAGAAAGAAGUCCGGUUAUAUCAAAUUCAUAGAAAGCGAUGAGAAUUUAACAUGAGAAGAAUAUUUUAGCGAAUCUUGUGAUAAUAUAUGUUAUUGGAAUAUCAGCAUAGUGAUUAGAAUUUUCUUGAAAAGAUAUUAGUAGAAUAUAUACUAGGAUUUGAUAAAUAUAUUAGAAUCUUUAUUUCUAUAGAAGAUUUAUUAGUCGAUAUUAGUGGGAUUUUGUGGAGUGAUGGGAUCAUAUGUUUCCCUAUUUUAUCUAGGGGUUUCUAUCUAUAAAAGGGGAUUGAUCAGAGCAGUCUUUCUCCAUAAUAUAGCCGAUAAUAUGAGUAAGACUUAUAAACCGUUGAAUAAAGAAACCGUGAAGUUACAAGCAAUGCUACAAAGGUACGGGUACUAUGAAAUGGUUCUCACUUCCCUUGAUUCAAAGGUUCAUUAGUCUUACUCGUAUUGUUAGCUAUAUUAAGAGGGAAACUCAAAGAUGUCAACAGAACUCCAGAAGAUGUCGGCCAAGAAAGUUCAGGAAGUUGUAACAUCAGCAACAAAGCAAUCUGCUAAUUGAAUCAAGUGGUGCCAAAGAGGCCAUAAAAUCCUUAAAAAGUGCCGGUAAUCGUUUAUUAUAUUGGUAGACAAACUCAAAAUAACUUUGCAUCUUCUGCUGUUUAAAGCUCAAGGAUAUAGCACAUAAGUUACCUCUCUUGCAAUGCGUUAUUGGCCUUGAUAGUAUUUUCCAUAUUAAUCUCACCGUCACUGUUUUGUCCUUAAGCAGUAGUUAAGCUCUUCAUUUUCUCUCAUGAAUUGUUUCUUUUUUUGGCGACAAAAGUCAAUUACACAUGUGAAACUACUUUCAUUUAGUCCACUGAAUGAUUUAAUCGAUCUAUUUUUGGAUUUCAAAUCACACGCAUAGUAGGUUCAAGAAUAUUAAUAUACUAACAAAAACCAAUUUACCUACAAACCCAAAAGUUAGAACUUAGAAGAUUAUACAAAUAGAAUUAAUCUAAUGCCCACUAUUGGAUAAGUUGAUGAGCACAUAGCAGUUAAGGAGGGACAAGAUUCAUUGAACAUAAACUUUAAAGUAUAUGUGGGAAGCCCACCAAACAAGAAUACACAUAUCAUCAAAUUGCCAAAUUGAUGUAAACAAAUGACGCAAUCAUCACGAAAUGCAUAAGUAGAAACCCUCUAACUGCAUCGGAGUGUCUCCAAAAAAAUGAUGAAAAAACGUAAAACAUAUCCUCUUUUUUUUCCUAACACUCGUAAAUUAGUUCACCUAGAUAUAAUAACUGAAUCAAGAAUCAAAGAAAUUGUUGAAAAGGUCCAUAGAAGAAGGAGACUGAAUCUUCGAUGGACUACUCUGAAGGAUAGAGUUAAAGUCAUUAAAGAACGACGAAAAACCUUGUGGAUCGGUUGGUCCAAUAGUGGAAAAGAAGUCCGGUGAUACCGACGGCAGAGAAUUAGGUCCCGGCGAUAAAAUCCCAGCAUGGUGGAAACUUGGCCGCUCGAACCCUUGAUUUUGAUGUUGUUGUUCUUGAUGAUGAUGAUGAUGAUGAUAAUGAUAAUAUUGAUCCAUAGUCCCUUCGCCUCCAACAAAUGUCCCUAGUUCGUUUGAGAUAUUAGCCUUCUCUGUAACAGCAAACCGAGCCGCCGGAGAUAUCAACCCAUGAGAUGUAUCAACCAUUGUUGACGCGUCUUUUGGUGCUGACGUAGAUGAAGAAUAGGAGGAGGAUGUUGUGGAGGUGGAGGUUUUACCUGUGAGACGUUGGACCAAUGUCAUGAAGUUAUUAGGGUGUGUAUGGAUAAUCCUGGGAGAUACUGUGUAUAUAAUCACGGGACCAGGUGGCGGCCGCGAUUGUGACGGUUCUUGCUGAUGGGUUUGUGGUGGUUGUGGUUGCGGGUGUGGCGGCGCUAGUGGUGGCUUCUUGAUGAUCUUGUGCGAAUCUCCACGGACUUUCAAUGGUAUUGGUCUCGGACCCAAGAUUCCUCUUGAUCUUGGCGAUCUAUUAUCCAUAGAAUCCACUUAAUGAGAUGAAUAGUAUAUGUGUAUGUGUGUGCGUGAUGAUGAAUUUAGUGAAGAACAAUGAUUAUGUGAUGAUUAGGGGAAAAGGCAGGGUACAUGAGUACUUGUAUAUAUAUGAUUUGUGUGUAUUAAAGAAGGAUAGAGAAAAGUCAAAUGAAGGAAGGAGAGUAAACCUACUUAAAAAGUGGUAAACUUUGGCUACUUGUUUGUUUGUAUUGAUUAUUAUAUCUUUUUAUGUAUGUUUCUUCUAGUAUGUUUCUUACCAAGAUUUGGUUUGGUUUACCCAAGAUUAAAAGUUUUCUAGUCGUGAGAAAAGACUCGCUAUUAACUACGACUUCCAACUUUUAUUAUUUAGUUUUCGUACCUCAAUUUAUUCUCGUUUGUGGUUAAUAUAAUUUGAUGAGAUAGAUACAUCUAGGUGGUGCUCACGUUGUUGUAUUUUUUUCUUUAAUAAAAAAAAAUUUAGAGGUGAAGUUACUGUUUAUAAGAUAGAGACAUAAAUUACGAAAAAAAAAAAAAAAUCGGAUACUUAUUUUUGUUUGCAUCUUAAUGGACUUAAAGGUUGAAUAUUUCCAGUCUAGAGGAAGUCAAAAGCGUAGAAGAGGUCAUAAGUGCCACGUCAGAUAAUUGGUAGCUGACUUGGCAUGAUUUUGUAGAGAGCUCCAACACGGUUCUUCUGAUCCAGACAUGACCCUGUGUCUGUGGACCAUAAUCAACACAAAUUUUGCCUUUGUCAAACAAUAUUUAUUCAAUAAAAACACAAAACUAGAUGUGGUCAGAAGUUUAAUAAUAUGUUUUCAAUAUUAACUGAUAUCUAUUGGCCUUUUUAAAAUCUAAAAUGAAUUUCGAGUUAUUGAAAUACUAUAAACAUGUCUGACAUUUAGUAGUUUUAGUGGUCAGGAAUGUCCACUUUGUAACUGAUUUUUUCUGUUCAAGGGUAUAUAUCACGGUUAUUAAAAAAAUUUAAAACUAUGUGACGUGAAAAUGUCAGAAAUAUAAUUGUGCUACGGCCACGAAAAUACGUUAUAUUGUCAUAAAUUUCAUAAUAGUGAUAAGGCCCACGUACUCUCGACCAACUCAAUUUUUCAUUUAUACGAAAAAAGCUCAAUAUCAUGGCUUCUUUGUCCAGAGACCAGAGGUUUUUGUCUCACGACACACACUCAAUGCGCCAUUCUUGCGCGUGGGUUCACGUUUUGUAGUCUCAGAGAAACAGAGCUUUUUUUUACAGUUAGCUGAAUCGCUACAUAACAAAAUUAAUCAAAACAUCACUACAAAGUCUUGAAGCGUUCGAUAAUAAUCUUUUGUGUUUGGGAGAUUAACAUAGUACAAAUUUAAAUCAUGAUAAUCUGAAAAAGGGCUUACUUGCGAUGUUGCUGGACGCGGGAACAGUAAUACAUGAGGGGAGAAAAAGUCUUUUGUGUUUGGUUUUGAGUCUAUUUUUUGGUCAAACUCGAAUCUCCAAAUGACAUGAAAUCCAUCUAUUUUCUUACUUAUUGCUCGAAAGUGAUUGGUCUUUCAAAGUCUCCCUAGAUUCUUCCAUUUAUGUAUAUUUUUUUGGUACAUUAGCCUAUAAUUAUAAUUUUUGCUGAACAACGAUUAGCGACAUUAUUUGCUAUCAAUUAGCUUCGGAUGCGAGUGAACGCGUAUAACCUUUAAAGGUCUCACGCGGUAAAUUAUAAAGAACAAUACUAUAUUACAUCGCAAAAGUAUAGUUGCGAAGUCUGGUUCUAGAUAGUACGAAUCAGUCUUAACACUGCCAACUGAAACAAAAAUAAAAUAUCGUAUAAAAUCAAAAUGGAGUUUUUAUUUUUUGGCUAAAAUGAAUUUUCUUACAAGAAAAUAUAGAUCAUUACCUAUCUUUUAAUUAUAUACUCAGACAAAACUUAUAUUAAAUUGAAAGCUAUAUUCGAACCCAACUAAAAACUGAAACUGUGUAAUCCAAUUUAUACAAGAUGACGUGAUUUAUAUUAAUCAUUACUAGUAUUUUUUUAGUAAACCUAGAAAUUCAGACUUCCAAACCGGGAUCAAGUCGAGAUUUGAGAUAUAUAGUUAAAAUGAGCCACUUAAACAAGAAUGGUACUAAACGUAGUAACCAAUUAUAGGCGGAAUCUUUUGGGGAAAAUGAACAACAGUUUAGAAGAAUCUACAAAUUCAUUAUGAGUGAAUGAAUAAGUGACAAAAAAAAAUAAAAAAAUAUAUGAAAUUGUGUGUAAAAUUCAGCGGAAAUUAAUUGGUGAAUUCAUCUUACAAUAGAGGAUAACAUCUUUAAUCUUCUCAUCUCUGUCUUCCUCUACCAUCGAACUACAACCGGAAGAAUUAGCCGGAGAAGAUUUUAUUGAGUGGAUGGAACUGCUCUUCCUUGUCACUUUCUUAGAUCUUCCUCGUUGCUCACCUUCCGCCGCCACGUCAAAGCACAUACACAGCCGCAUAAAUGGUUUCAGGAAUCCAAAAGUUCUUCCACUUGUUUUUGGUUGUGACAUUGUUCAAAGAUGAAAACUACAAAGAUCGCUCAAGAAAUGGAAUCUUAAGAAUACGAAUCCACGACGGUGGUGUCUAGAGUCGAGAGAUGUAAAAUGUAGAAGAUUUAAGUGUAUCUUUUAGUUUCUUACAGAUUAGGGAUAAUGACUAUAUAUAAACAUACAAAAGGUAAUUACAAUUUUGUGUUUUGAUUCUUUCGUUAUUUUGUUUCUAUAACAAAAAGUAGGGCAUUUUCUGAAAAUUAGAAAGUUUUGGUCUUUCUAGAGAUUUUUUGAAGGACCGUGAUGUGUGUUAGUAAUAGUAAUAGUUAUUUCCUUAUUUGAAUGAGCUUAUUAAUGUAUUUUACUAAUUUGUUAAGUUUUGAAUUGAUGUUACCGGCUAAAUUUGAGAAUUCAAUUACUGUUACCACAUUUGUGGGAUACAAAAUCUGCGGUAUAAUAUCGUUAUUCAAAAACAAAAAGAAUGAACAUUUAUUGUUGAGAAAAAUAUUGGCGAAAUCGAUGCUAUCCUUUGAUUGAAGCAAUCUUAUAGCAUUGGUAAGAUUUUUGUUUCCAACUACUAGCUUUUGCUAAGAAUAACUAUCCGACUUUAUCGCUAUCUUUUCGACUUUUUUCGUUUGCAAUAUAUUAGCAAAAUAAAUCAUGCAUGUAAUAAUAAUAUAACUGAAAUAAUGAUAAAUGAUGUUAUAAGAAGAAAGAAAGAAAAUUACAUAAAUGCUGCAAGAGUAACUUGUCUGUCCAAAGGUAUGAAAAUAAAAAAGGUAGCUAGGGCCCAAAAGCCCAAAAUACAUGCUGCACCAUGUUUCUAGGUCAAAGCAGCAACGCAAUCUCGAGUCUCGUUAUAGUAUUCCACUUUUCAUUGCUUCAUCACACGAUCAGAUCUAGAUCAAAGGUUUGGGACAUUUACCACAACAAUGUGGCUCUUCCUAUAUCAAUCAGCUCAAUGACGGUUUUGUGUCUUAUUCUAAUAAUCUAUAUAUAACCGCUUGCCAUUCCAAUGAUGAAGAGGGUAGAAAUCUCGAAGAGCAACCUUUUCGUAAACUUGUUGCUCUUUAGAUUUUGAUGAACCGCACCUAAGUUCUUAGCUGUCGAAUCUAGCGCCUAAUUAAGCUUGCCUCUCAAGUCCCAACGUUUUCAACCCUUCGAUAGAUAGCGAUUAGCGAACCAACAUGAAGAUCAAUAUUAAUUGGUGGAAUAAAUUCACAAAUAUGAGAUUUUAAUGAUUAGUCAAUGUAGUUAAAAUCAUAAACCCAAAACUUUUAUGAUAACAAAACUUGAGUAACAAGUAAUAUUUUUUGUUUGUAUCAACUAAAUAUACGCAAGUACUCCUAUCACAAUUAAGUCAAAAUCACUUUCGAGUCAAACUCGAAUUAAUAAUACAGCUAUGAUGAAUAAAUGCCAUCCGGAAAAAAAGAAUUAAGGUUUGACUUCCUAUUAUUUCACAAUUUAUAAGUAAUUUGUACUCGUAUAUAUAUUUUAAUCCUAACAGUACUACAUUAUCGUCAACCCAAAAUAAUAUUGGGAUCGGAGCUUACCAUAGAUCUAGUUUUUAAGGCUGCCCAAUCAAACUUGUAGGUGGUGAUCGACGA